rnacentral:rRNA from 1 species
CCUACGGGCGGCAGCAGUGGGGGAUAUUGCACAAUGGGGGGAACCCUGAUGCAGCGACGCCGCGUGAGCGAUGAAGUAUUUCGGUAUGUAAAGCUCUAUCAUCUGGGAAGAAAAUGACGGUACCUGACUAAGAAGCCCCGGCUAACUACGUGCCAGCAGCCGCGGUAAUACGUAGGGAGCAAGCGUUGUCCGGAUUUACUGGGUGUAAAGGGUGCGUAGACGGCAUUGCAAGUCUGAAGUGAAAGGUAAGGGCUUAACCCUUAGACUGCUUUUGAAACUGUGAUGCUUGAGUGUCUGAGAGGCAGGUGGAAUUCCUGGUGUAGCGGUGAAAUGCGGAGAUAUUAGGAGGAACACCAGUGGCGAAGGCGGCUUGCUGGACGAUGACUGACGUUGAGGCUCGAAAGCGUGGGGAGCAAACAGGAUUAGAUACCCUUGUAGUC